rnacentral:rRNA from 1 species
CCCUUAGAUGUUCUGGGCCGCACGCGCGCUACACUGACGAAUGCAACGAGCUUAUAACCUUGGCCGAAAGGUCUGGGUAAUCUCCAAAUUUCGUCGUGAUGGGGAUAGAUUAUUGCAAUUAUUAAUCUUCAACGAGGAAUGCCUAGUAAGCGCAAGUCAUCAGCUUGCGUUGAUUACGUCCCUGCCCUUUGUACACACCGCCCGUCGCUCCUACCGAUUGAAUGAUCCGAUGAAUAUCAUGGAUUGAGGAUGCAAGUAGGUUAGCCUAUCUUCAUCUUCGAGAAGUGAAGUAAAUCUUAUCAUUUAGAGGAAGGAGAAGUCGUAACA